rnacentral:lncRNA from 1 species
AGUGGCGUGAUCUUGGCUCACUGCAUCCUCCGCCUCCCGAUUCAAGUGAUUCUCCUGCCUCAGCCUCCUAAGUAGCUGGGAUUACAGGCAUGUGCCACCACACCCAGCUAAUUUUUGUAUUUUUAGUAGGGACAGGGUUUCACCACGUUGGUCAGGUUGGUCUUGAGCUCCUGACCUCGUGAUCUGCCCACCUUGGCCUCCCAAAGUGCUGGGAUUACAGGCGUGAGCCGCUGUGCCCGGCUAUUUUUUUUUUUUUUCUUGGAGUUAAUAACUGCUCUGUUUGUUCACUUACUUGGUCUUCUAUAUAUACCUGUUUCUUCCCAAAUAGGGAGCCCAGAAUUUAAAAAACUAAUUAUUUGUUGACCACAGCAAACUAAUUAUUGUUUCCCAAUGGUAUUCUAAGUUUUCUCUUUAGUUAUCCAUACUAUUAUUAUUUCUUCUGUCCUUUUUUCACUGUUACACCAGAGUGGAGGUUGCAGUGAGCUGAGUUCAUGCCACUGCACUGCAACCUGUGCGACAAGAGUGAGCUCUGUCUCAAAAAAAAAAAAAAAAAAAAAAGUUCAAAUGGUCAUAUUUGUAGUCUGUUUUUAAAAUCAAGUAAUGGAAUAAAUAGGUUUUUAGAGAUAAUGGGUUGGAGGCAAUUUGGAAGGUUUAUUUAGGUUGUCAGAAGACUAGUGUUGAGGGUGAUGGUUUGUGGGGAUUUAAAAAAUCCUCAGACUAUUUGAAAUUAGGGUAGUAACAAGUCCCAGGAUAUAUGUAUGAGUUUAACAUCUAUGUAGAGAUUAAAAUGUAGAAGCAUGUCUAAUCAACUUUUUUUGGCUGUAUAAUGUCCUAUAACUUAGCUGUUAACUGCUUAACUCACUGCUGAGUACAUAUUGAACGUGCAAUAUAUAUUUUAUUUCUGGUUGUCUUUAUGGCACAUUUUGUUGGGAGGCAGGUGUUUCAUUUGCAUUUGGUUGUAUGUGUGUUCUCUUGUUCAUACAAGGGUCUUACAAGACUAAAUGUUAUUUAAUGUGAGAAUUUUGAACUUUCAUCAGUACUCAUAGGGCCUUUCAUUUUGUAGACAUCUUCAUUUGAUUGUACACCAUCUCCCAGCAAGACACCAGUUGAAAACCCCUUGAAUAUUAUGUUGAACAUUGUCAAAAACGAAUUGCAGGAACCCUGUGACAGUCCCAAAGUUAAGGAAGAACGAAUUGAUACACCACCAGCUUGUACAGAGGAAAGCAUAGCAACACCCUCUGAAAUUAAAACAGAAAAUGACACAGUCGAGUCAGUUUAAAUAAAAUGAGAAAGGUAUGUUUUUCUUUUUUAAAAAAGCUGCUGUUGGAUCUAGAAGGUGAAGAAUUUUUUUAUGUAUAUAUAGACAUAUCUAUAUAAAUUGUCUGGCUGAGGCAGGGCCUUCAGCUAUCAUUUGGUUAAUAAAUACAUUUUAGUAUUUGCAUUUC